rnacentral:rRNA from 1 species
UACGUAGGGUGCGAGCGUUGUCCGGAAUUAUUGGGCGUAAAGAGCUCGUAGGCGGUCUGUUGCGUCGGCUGUGAAAACCCGGGGCUCAACCCCGGGCCUGCAGCCGAUACGGGCAGACUAGAGUUCGGCAGGGGAGACUGGAAUUCCUGGUGUAGCGGUGAAAUGCGCAGAUAUCAGGAGGAACACCGGUGGCGAAGGCGGGUCUCUGGGCAGUAACUGACGCUGAGGAGCGAAAGCGUGGGGAGCGAACAGG